GCACUAACAUAUGAGUGUGUGGAGUUAGGAUCAAAUAGCACAUAAAUAGCUUGUUCAAAGAGGGAAAAAGUACUAGCUACUACAUCAGAAGUCUUAGCCUCUUCUCUUUGACUCAUUGUACUUUGUUCUAGCUGAUUUACAGCGCCUUGACUACCUUAGAGGUACUAUCCCUACCUCUUCCUCUACCUCUAAUAGUUGACUGUGAACCUCUGGUGGCAGAACCUUGAGCUGACCCUUCAGCUGUUGUAGUAGGUGGCCCAAAUUUAAGGGCACUAGUAUUGUGACACCCCUCACUGGGGCACUGGCUCAUUUAACUUUGUCGUAUUUCAUUUCUA
rnacentral:misc_RNA from 1 species